CGCCCGCCGCCCGCGUGCGGGGCGGUGAGAGGCCGGCGGCGCCCGCUCCCACCACCUGUGAAGAAAUUUUCGGCCCUAUUUCCGUCUCUGUGUUCGUUGAGUUGGGUCCGAAGAGCCCCCUCCUCCUCCUCCUCCCCCCCGCGCCGCCGCACCGUUGUGUUAACGCUGGAGCGAAGGAGAAAUGGAGCGGAGCGCUCCGGGCCAUUUCUGAUGGCAGACCCCCGCUCCCAGUGCCGAGCGCUGCACCCCGCUCCUGUUUUCGCCUUUUUCUCCUCCCAAAAUGGAGCUCCGGCGGCGAGCGGGGUCUGUCCCCGCGGUGCCUGCGUGGGAUCGGUGUUUCUCUCGAGACUGAACGCCAAAAUCAAUGUUAAGGCGCGGGGAGGGCAGAGCGGCGAUUGCAUAACUAUAACGCGGAGAAUGGAAAUGGCGCUGCGCGGGUUCUGCGUGGGUCUCCCCGCAGAGCCGGGCCUGCCCCAUCACCACGGAGCCGCCAUCCGACCCUGCGCGCAGCGCGUAUCUCCCUGCGAAGCCCCUGCGAAGCAGAGGGACGGGGCUGCUCGGCCCCGUUCUGCCGCGGGGCAUUCCGCGGGUGAGGGGGCAGCGCGCAGCUCCACGCUGUGUUUCAGCCUGAGCCGAAUCUCAAAAGCUAUUGCUUUGUGUGUUGUCCAAGGGAAGAAAAAAAAAUCUCGCCUUAAAACUGUUGUUUUUAAUUUGAGGGACCGCUCCGUUUGGCCGGCCGCGGUGGUUUCUUAUUUGUGUUUAAUUGUCUGUCACCGAAAUGGAGGGGAGUGUGAGGUCUGAAUUCCCCCCCCCCCCGGCAAAAGAGGAAUAUUCUUCCCUCUGCCCGAGUUUCCUCCAUAGGAUUUCUUCUUAAAGUGAGUGACAGUUUGCAUUAUGUUCCGCAAAGGUCACAACCAAAAGCAGUGGGGAAGCGCACUGCAGAAAAGAUGUGGAUUUAAAGCCCUUCCCCACCUCCGCGGCCCCGGUCAAAGGGAGAACGCGGUGCGACUGUUUGUGUCGCGGCUGGAGGCCUUACGGGGAGUGUUACCAAACGUAUGUCUUACGAAAGCGGGGCCCUUGCGGAAAUCUCAUGGACAGAGCUCCGAGGUGAGCACGGCCGUAUUUUCAAAAUAGAGCGCAGCUCCGUGGCGCGAUGGGUGACCUCUGGGCUGCACUCCGGCAGCACGCUGCCCUCUGCGCCUGUCCCCACAAACCGGGGGGCUGAGGCGAGCGAGGUUGGAUUUGCGCUGGCGGGGGCUUUUGUUGCGCGCAGAGGGCAGCGGCGGCGACGGGCCGGGGCCCACGUGAAGAGGAACGUGAAGUAACGAUGCUCGAGGUUUCCCGUGUCGUCCUCACGGCGUGAGCAGGAGCGGAGCGCCGGACCCGCGCGUCGGUAGUAGAAGAGCGACCUGCGCGCCUCGUGGGGUGGAUGCUGCCGCAUCCUCGGUCGGAAAUCACCGAUUUCGGGAAUAACCGCUAAUUGAACGUUAGCUUUCAAUUAAUCUCAGUGCGAAGUCGUUUAAAUGUCGGCGCAAUCACUCCGUUCCCCCUCGCUUGCCCGACGGCUCGGUUAUUUUGAUAUGCGCGGUUUUUGGAAGGACUGCGAGGCGCGCAGGGGCAGCGGCGGUGCCGUCGGGGCGGCUGAGACCGAGUGGCCGCUGCGCGGGCGCGCAGGUGGCGUGCGGAGGAGCACAGAGGGGCAGCGCGCAGAGCAGGUUGCGCGAGUUUUAGUCCGCCGGACCUCGACCCGAGCCCCACGGGCCGGGAGGAUCCCGCUCGCCCUUCCCGUGUGAAUUUUGUUUCUUUUUUUACCCCCCUUUUAUUUCCCCCUCUCCCUUUCCUGCCCGACGGCGCGUCCUCCCCGAAGGUGGUGCGGUGCCGCGGUGCGCGGAGCCCUCCCGACUUCAUGACGGCGGCGCUCAUAAAGCCAUUCGCUUCUUUCCAAAGCCAUAAACAAACGUCGUGUUAGGUCAAGAUUGAUGGUGUCCAUGCAAUAAAACCGGGCCAGGUCAGGAAGGAAUAAAAUUCAAUCAGAGCGCGCGGAAUCAUUUUUCAGGGGACAGAAAGACAGAAAAGGAGACGGGGGUCAGGG
ensembl:lncRNA